GCAAUGGUUGUUCAGUGAUAGAAUUCUUGCCUUACGGGCAGGAGACCUGGGUUCAAUCCCUGGCCAAUGCA
rnacentral:tRNA from 1 species